UUUGAUUCCAGCUUUUGUCUC
rnacentral:miRNA from 1 species